rnacentral:lncRNA from 1 species
GCAUAAACAAUUUUUCAAAAAAUCGUAGCGGAAUAAUUAUAUCAUACAACUCAUCAACGGAUAAUAAAAUUCUCCAAAGUAGCCAUGUUACAUAAUCAUACUACAUCAACAAAAUAAAACUCCAAAUCUCAACAACUGAGUGAAUAAGUCUCAUAAAGUCCGACUCUAAGACUCUAAGAAUCUGUAAUAGACAGACACCCCUAAUCAGAGCUCGACUCUAAGACUCUAAAAGCAAAACACAAGGUAGCUCCAAAGCUAGCCUCCAUCAUACUCACCAAGCAAAGCUAAACAACUAAUCAUGCACGCCGUCUACCCAUCCAUACGAAUAAGGUUGGUGGUCAACCAAACGACCAUUGGGGGUUAGAUAACACUUCACAAUUAAAGUAUAAUCAAAUUAAAGUAAAGCGGCAUAAUUAAUUUUAAAUGAUUAAACAACACUUAAUUAAAUCAUUUAUAACAACUCAACAUCGUUAAUAAUCAUUAAGCAUAUAAGUAUAAUAAUCAUACAAGUACACUUUCAACAUCUUCACAUAUUCACCAAAUUUCACCAAGUACAUAAUUCACCAAGUUGAUCAAUGCACAUAAAUCACCAAGGUUCACCAAGCACAUAAUCAAUAUGACACACUUAACUAAUUAUCAAAUGUAUGCAAUGCGCCUAGACACGACUCUAUAUGCAUGUGGUACCGGUCAUUGUCAAGGUCGUCACCUCAAGAUACAAAUGUAUCAUAAUCAUGUCGUUAAUACAAAGUAUUCUAGUCAUCGUCGUUGGAUGUAAACAUUCUAGUCAUCUUCACUGGAUAUAAAUAUCUUACUUAUCAAUGCAUGAACAUAUGGCUCAAUAAUGCAUACGUUCACUCAACAAAACAUCGUCAUCAAACAUCGUCACUUUUCAUACAUGCGGUCAUCAUCAAAAUCAUCAUCAUUUUGCAUGUAAGAAUUCAUCGUCAUUAUUAAAUCAUCAUCAUCGACAAUCACCUCAAAGAAAUAACAAAGUUUCAAAAUCAUAAUUCACAUCAAAACGGACAACUAACCACUUCAUGGCAUUCAACAUAUUAAACACCUACUCAUCAUUGAUUCAUUCUUAUUCUAUCAUAUUAUCUUAUGCACAAAGCCAAUUGCAAGUUAUCCGGUCAUGAAACCACAUUUUAACAAAGUUCGUCUAUUUUCAAAACUUUUAUCAUUUCCUACGUAAUUCACCAAAACAAAGCAUACAUGUUCAAACACCUCGAAAAAGCAUAGACACUAAUCACAUAUGAUCACAGUAGCAUAUACAUAUCCUCAUCCUAAGCCAAUUCCGAUUAAUUCCAAAGUUUCACCAAGUCCAUCUCAUUUUACCAUUUUCCAAAAGAAAACCAUUUUUCAAAGCAAGACCAAGUUAUAGGUCAUGAAUACCAUCCAAAACCAUUUCAUAAAUCAUAGUUACAGGAAACAAAAUUAACCUUACCCUUUUUCCUUGAGAAAAACGAGUUUUGGAAAAUUCAUGUUCUUGAACGUUUUUCAAAAAGUUUUGAUUCCAUUCACAAAACCAAGUUCAAUCCAAUUUAUUUGAUGUUUCCAAAGGUUUAGAAAGCAUGACAACAGUUAAAUACAUCAAAAUAAUCAUUUAGGAAAGUCCGGAUCGGCCCCGAAGUACCCGAAACACCCAAAACAUGGGGUUCUGCACUGUGCAACUCGCCACAACGAACUAGAACUCGCCCAACGAGUUACACCAGGAUAGAAACCCUGUUCUUGGGUUUUCCCUCUCGGGAACCCAUCAUUUUCACCCCAAAAUCCCGUUUUUGAUCCCCUUCGACCCAUAUUCGUCCCCCAAACUUGUUUAUUAGUUAACAUACAUCAAAAGGCAAUCAAAACAACAACAAAUAUGGGCUCAAACAUCAAUUCUCAUCAAAAUCAUCAAUAUGUUAAUUUUUCACCAAAACUCACAUUUUCUCAUUUUUCAUUCAAACUUCACAAACAACCACACAAAGUCAAACCCCAUCAACAUGCAAACAUAAAUAAACAUUUAUUAAGUGAAUUUAAGCAUGUUUCAACAAUAAUCACUCACCAAUUCAUUAAAUACACUUAGUUAAACAAAAAUCAUCAAAACAACUUAUCAACAACAACAACUAUGAAUUUUAAGCACAUAACAUAUCAAUUUCAUGAAGUUUAUCAUGCCCAUAAAUUCACAUGAAUUAAGAGCACGAAAUUCAUCAUAAAAAAUCACAAAAAAUCAUAAUUCACAAUAAUCACUUAUGACCCAUAAUUGAAAAGAUGAAAAUUAUAUAAUUAUGAAAAUAAUUUAUCCCCCUUACCUCUUGAAUCCACUAGCUUAGGCUUCAAUCUCCCCUAGCUCUUCAACCCAAAGCUCUCUCUCUUUCUCUAGCUUCAUCUUCUUUCCUCUUGUGAUCUGCUUUCUCCCUCUACCUCUUAGGUUUUUAAUUGUCA